rnacentral:rRNA from 1 species
GGAAGUAAAAGUCGUAACAAGGUUUCCGUAGGUGAACCUGCGGAAGGAUCAUUAAUGAAUUCACUAUGGAGUUGUUGCUGGCCUCUAGGGGCAUGUGCACGCUUCACUAGUCUUUCAACCACCUGUGAACUUUUGAUAGAUCUGUGAAGUCGUCUUUCAAGUCGUCAGACUUGGUUUGCUGGGAUUUAAACGUCUCGGUGUGACAACGCAGUCUAUUUACUUAACACACCCCAAAUGUAUGUCUACGAAUGUCAUUUAAUGGGCCUUGUGCCUAUAAACCAUAAUACAACUUUCAACAACGGAUCUCUUGGCUCUCGCAUCGAUGAAGAACGCAGCGAAAUGCGAUAAGUAAUGUGAAUUGCAGAAUUCAGUGAAUCAUCGAAUCUUUGAACGCACCUUGCGCCCCUUGGUAUUCCGAGGGGCAUGCCUGUUUGAGUGUCAUUAAAUUCUCAAACUCACUUUGGUUUUUUUCCAAUUGUGAUGUUUGGAUUGUUGGGGGCUGCUGGCCUUGACAGGUCGGCUCCUCUUAAAUGCAUUAGCAGGACUUCUCAUUGCCUCUGCGCAUGAUGUGAUAAUUAUCACUCAUCAAUAGCACGCAUGAAUAGAGUCCAGCUCUCUAAUCGUCCGCAAGGACAAUUUGACAAUUUGACCUCAAAUCAGGUAGGACUACCCGCUGAACUUAAGCAUAUCAAUAAGCGGAGGA